AUCCCUGACAAAGUGAAAGGUAAGGUUUAUAUAACAUCUAAUGUACAACAUAUCCACAAGAUGAGUAUAGUAGAAAUGCAAAUAUUACAAUGGAUGUCUAGCCUUAUGAUGAUGGAUAAGAUUUGGUCUGACCACAUCUGGCACAUAGUGCACAUAGCACAUAUUGGGGAUAAAGUGAGAGAAUGUCAAUUAAAAUUGUUUAGUCCUGUCCAACAUAGAGAAUCAAAUACUUUAGUACGAAAAUGUGAUAAAUUAGUGGUGAAA
rnacentral:misc_RNA from 1 species